GUGGAACAGCCAGAUCCCGCGAGGUGUGACCAAGAGCAGGCUCCUGGACCAAAAUCCACCUGGGCAUGCAACUGUGAAAACCGCAAACCAGAAAACUCUCCCUCUGACCAGAGCACACGAGAAAUCCCCUCCUAAGGGGAAGGCAAUCGAUGACCACACACACCCACUGUGCUUCAUUUACUCCAAAUGGGCCCUUCCAUCAGGAAGAUGGCUUCCAACCAGAUCUAGUGUGGGGCCUCCCUACCCCGACAGGCCGCUGUGUGGCAGAGAACAGCAGUGACGCUGACCUUUGAGGGAACACUGCACUUGCAGGGGGACAGGAAGGACCUCAAAUCCACCUACCUCGAUGCCCACCUCUCAUGAGGUCAGAAAAGCCAACCAACAUUCCCUCUACUCGCGGACUUCUCCAGUGGACUGUUCAAACCCUGGGGCUUCUCAUUCUCAACUGGCUCAAGAACGUCAGCUCCAUGUGGAUUGAGAAACAUUUCAGUCAACAACUGAGUCCUGAGCUUGUUUUUAGGUCUUCUGGAUUCUACAGCUUCAUGUCUAAGUCAAACAGGACCAACUAUUAGAAAAUAUAAGGUACUAAGAAUCAUUAAAACAUUCCUGACAUUUCCAAAAGGGAGAAAAGCCAUCCCAUCAUCAUUUAUUAAAUAACAUAUGUUAUGGUCUGAAUUUUAAA